rnacentral:lncRNA from 1 species
UUUUUAUAUCUAUUCUUUUCUGUCUUCUUUGUUCUUCGUGCGUCUGUUCUUUCCUUCUUCAACAGGUGGCAGGUCUGGCGGUGGUGAAGAGCUGCUGGUUGCGUCGCGGUGGGCGCUGUCGGGUCGAUCUGUGACCGACGGGUCUGUUCGGUGACCCUGUGACCGCUGCUGGGUCGGUACUGGUGUGAUGCAGCUGGCGGUGAGCACGGCGUUGAGAGGCAGAUCGGAGGAAGAGAUGCUGGACGGUGGUCUGUCGGUGUCCGGAGGGAAGGUCUUGGUCGGC